rnacentral:lncRNA from 12 species
GCAGCAAGGUAACUACGGUUGAAGGUUUUGCUUUCUCUGCUCUGAAGUUUCACAGCUUCCCUGGUGAACUCCAAGGUGAAUGAGAAUCGUGAAGAUCAGCCAAAAAAAAAAAAAGAAAGGAAGAAAGAAAGAAAGGAAGAAAGAAAGAAAGAAAGAAAGAAAGAAAGAAAGAAAGAAGAAAGAAAGAAAGAAAGAAAGAAAGAAAGAAAGAAAGAAGAAAGAAAGAAGAAAGAAAGAAAGAAGAAAGAAAGAAAGAAAGAAAGAAAGAAAGAAAGAAAGAAAGAAAGAAAGAAAGAAAGAAAGAAAGAAAGAAAGAAAAACCAUUCUAGGAAAAUGCUAGCUUCUUCCAUGAGUAGCAUGUUCAUUCAACUUGUUAUAAUUUCAUUAAGGUUAACAACAACAGUAUUUACCUGUCCUUUUUUACAAGAUAAAAAUCAAUGUUUUCCUUGUAUCAUUGUAAAACUAAGGUUCAAUUCAUAAUUUUGUGUGUGUAUAUAGACCUACCUAUGAGAGAAAAGAAACACGUGAGCGAAAUUGAUUCUAGAAUCUGGAUAGUCUUUCCUACAUAUUGUCAAUCUUUAUGUUUAAAUACAUUUCUAGUUAUAAUUCCAAGUAUUUUGGUUAUUUAGAAUUUAAAAUUUCAUCACUAAUUUUUGUUUUAGAGCACUGGGUUCAGAGAAUGUGCACAAUAAUUUCUUCUCUCAGAUUUCAUCAGUAGCUGACUGAUAAUAAGUUCCAUGGACACUGGGAAAGUAUAUUAUCCAUAUGAAAGGCUUAACAUUCAAUAUGCAGUUAUUGGGGUAACUUUGUUCAUUUUUACCACAACCUCCAUAAUCUAGCUUAUUUGUUGCUUGUGUGAUAUAUGAAAGACUGAGAAAAGUAUUUUUAAAAUAUCUUAUAUCUAUCAAUAUUGUAUGUAUUAAUUUCUUUUUUGGUUAUUAUAUAUUUUGACAGAAUCUUAUUCGCAGUUUAAGGGACUAUGAAGUAUAAACUUUAUUAACAUAUUUGAUAGUGACUUCCUUUUAGGAGU